rnacentral:rRNA from 1 species
UACGGGGGGGGCAAGCGUUGUUCGGAAUUACUGGGCGUAAAGGGCUCGUAGGCGGCCAACUAAGUCCGACGUGAAAUCCCCAGGCUUAACCUGGGAACUGCGUCGGAUACUGGAUGGCUUGAAUCCGGGAGAGGGAUGCGGAAUUCCAGGUGUAGCGGUGAAAUGCGUAGAUAUCUGGAGGAACACCGGUGGCGAAGGCGGCAUCCUGGACCGGUACUGACGCUGAGGUGCGAAAGCGUGGGGAGCAAACAGG